UACAGAGGGGGCAAGCGUUGUUCGGAAUUACUGGGCGUAAAGGGCGCGUAGGCGGCCUUCUAAGUCGAACGUGAAAUCCCCGGGCUCAACCCGGGAACUGCGUCCGACACUGGAAGGCUUGAAUCCGGGAGAGGGAUGCGGAAUUCCAGGUGUAGCGGUGAAAUGCGUAGAGAUCGGGAGGAAGGCCGGUGGCGAAGGCGGCGCUCUGGAACAUUUCUGACGCUGAGGCUCGAAAGCGUGGGGAGCAAACAGG
rnacentral:rRNA from 1 species